rnacentral:rRNA from 1 species
GAUGAACGCUAGCUACAGGCUUAACACAUGCAAGUCGGGGGGAAACGGCAUUAAGUGCUUGCACUUUUUGGACGUCGACCGGCGCACGGGUGAGUAACGCGUAUCCAACCUUCCCAUGACUAAGGGAUAACCUGCCGAAAGGCAGACUAAUACCUUAUGGUCUUCACUGACGGCAUCAGAUGUGAAGUAAAGAUUUAUCGGUUAUGGAUGGGGAUGCGUCUGAUUAGCUUGUUGGCGGGGUAACGGCCCACCAAGGCAACGAUCAGUAGGGGUUCUGAGAGGAAGGUCCCCCACAUUGGAACUGAGACACGGUCCAAACUCCUACGGGAGGCAGCAGUGAGGAAUAUUGGUCAAUGGGCGAGAGCCUGAACCAGCCAAGUAGCGUGCAGGAUGACGGCCCUAUGGGUUGUAAACUGCUUUUGUAUGGGGAUAAAGUCAAUCACGUGUGAUUGUUUGCAGGUACCAUACGAAUAAGGACCGGCUAAUUCCGUGCCAGCAGCCGCGGUAAUACGGAAGGUCCGGGCGUUAUCCGGAUUUAUUGGGUUUAAAGGGAGCGUAGGCUGGAGAUUAAGUGUGUUGUGAAAUGUAGACGCUCAACGUCUGACUUGCAGCGCACACUGGUUUCCUUGAGUACGCACAACGUUGGCGGAAUUCGUCGUGUAGCGGUGAAAUGCUUAGAUAUGACGAAGAACUCCGAUUGCGAAGGCAGCUGACGGGAGCGCAACUGACGCUGAAGCUCGAAGGUGCGGGUAUCGAACAGG